rnacentral:lncRNA from 1 species
UUAGUUUCCCGGACCUGGCAGAGCGCGGCUGCUGAGGACACGCCGCACCCGUCCCGUGCCCUCUGGUCGGGGAGGCCCCCGGCCUACCCCCAGUGCCGGCCUCCGGGUGGGCGGACGCCGCCAGUGCCGCAGGUGCAGCUCUGAGACAGCCCGCCGCUUCCCCCGCACCCAGCUGCAGUGGUUUCUGCUUCACUACACCCCUGCUGCGGAGAUGGUCUCUCCCUGCUGCCUGCCAUCCCACCCGCCCCACACGCCCACUUAGGAUGAUGCCCGUCUGUGGUUAUCAGCACCCACUCCUCCACCCCACAGUCAAAACUCCGUGGCCCUGGGCAUUGUCCUUUUAUUCUAGAACCUGCCUCUACAUUGCCCUCCUGGAGACAGUCACCCCACCCCCACCCACUCACACCGCUGUCCUGGAGAGGGCCACCCAGCAAGACAGGUAGGAUUUGAACCUCCACAGGGGCAGCUUACUGCAUUCAUGUGCACGUUCCAGCCACCUCCUGUCCUGAUUGUGUUUAGGUGGCUGGUGGCCACACCUGUCCCCUAGAACACCUGGCCACAGGGACCAGCCCUCCAGCCUAGCCUCUGCCUGGGGAGCUGCAGGGGAGUGGCACUCAGAUCUUUCU